UAAUACGUAGGGGGCAAGCGUUGUCCGGAAUUAUUGGGCGUAAAGCGCGCGCAGGCGGCUGUUUAAGUCUGGUGUUUAAUCCUGGGGCUCAACUCCGGGUCGCACUGGAAACUGGACGGCUUGAGUGCAGAAGAGGAGAGUGGAAUUCCACGUGUAGCGGUGAAAUGCGUAGAGAUGUGGAGGAACACCAGUGGCGAAGGCGACUCUCUGGGCUGUAACUGACGCUGAGGCGCGAAAGCGUGGGGAGCAAACAGGAUUAGAUACCCUGGUAGUCCACGCCGUAAACGAUGAGUGCUAGGUGUUAGGGGUUUCGAUACCCUUGGUGCCGAAGUAAACACAUUAAGCACUCCGCCUGGGGAGUACGGCCGCAAGGCUGAA
rnacentral:rRNA from 1 species